rnacentral:rRNA from 1 species
UCAGAUUGAACGCUGGCGGCAGGCUUAACACAUGCAAGUCGAGCGGAAACGAUGAUAGCUUGCUAUCAGGCGUCGAGCGGCGGACGGGUGAGUAAUACUUAGGAAUCUACCUAGUAGUGGGGGAUAGCACGGGGAAACUCGUAUUAAUACCGCAUACGACCUACGGGAGAAAGGGGGCAGUUUACUGCUCUCGCUAUUAGAUGAGCCUAAGUCGGAUUAGCUAGAUGGUGGGGUAAAGGCCUACCAUGGCGACGAUCUGUAGCUGGUCUGAGAGGAUGAUCAGCCACACCGGGACUGAGACACGGCCCGGACUCCUACGGGAGGCAGCAGUGGGGAAUAUUGGACAAUGGGGGAAACCCUGAUCCAGCCAUGCCGCGUGUGUGAAGAAGGCCUUUUGGUUGUAAAGCACUUUAAGCAGUGAAGAAGACUCUGUGGUUAAUACCCACAGACGAUGACAUUAGCUGCAGAAUAAGCACCGGCUAACUCUGUGCCAGCAGCCGCGGUAAUACAGAGGGUGCAAGCGUUAAUCGGAAUUACUGGGCGUAAAGGGAGCGUAGGUGGCUCGAUAAGUCAGAUGUGAAAUCCCCGGGCUCAACCUGGGAACUGCAUCUGAUACUGUUGAGCUAGAGUAUGUGAGAGGAAGGUAGAAUUCCAGGUGUAGCGGUGAAAUGCGUAGAGAUCUGGAGGAAUACCGAUGGCGAAGGCAGCCUUCUGGCAUAAUACUGACACUGAGGCUCGAAAGCGUGGGUAGCAAACAGGAUUAGAUACCCUGGUAGUCCACGCCGUAAACGAUGUCUACUAGUCGUUGGGUCCCUUGAGGACUUAGUGACGCAGCUAACGCAAUAAGUAGACCGCCUGGGGAGUACGGCCGCAAGGUUAAAACUCAAAUGAAUUGACGGGGGCCCGCACAAGCGGUGGAGCAUGUGGUUUAAUUCGAUGCAACGCGAAGAACCUUACCUGGUCUUGACAUAUCUAGAAUCCUGCAGAGAUGCGGGAGUGCCUUCGGGAAUUAGAAUACAGGUGCUGCAUGGCUGUCGUCAGCUCGUGUCGUGAGAUGUUGGGUUAAGUCCCGCAACGAGCGCAACCCUUGUCCUUAGUUACCAGCGGGUUAAGCCGGGAACUCUAAGGAUACUGCCAGUGACAAACUGGAGGAAGGCGGGGACGACGUCAAGUCAUCAUGGCCCUUACGACCAGGGCUACACACGUGCUACAAUGGUAGGUACAGAGGGCAGCUACACAGCGAUGUGAUGCGAAUCUCAAAAAGCCUAUCGUAGUCCAGAUUGGAGUCUGCAACUCGACUCCAUGAAGUAGGAAUCGCUAGUAAUCGCGGAUCAGAAUGCCGCGGUGAAUACGUUCCCGGGCCUUGUACACACCGCCCGUCACACCAUGGGAGUUGAUUGCACCAGAAGUGGGUAGCCUAACCCUCGGGAAGGCGCUCACCACGGUGUGGUUGAUGACUGGGGUGAAGU